rnacentral:misc_RNA from 1 species
UCUCUGCUUACGCAGGCAGUUCCAUUAGAGUCCCCGGCAUUACCCGCUGGCAACUAAUGGUAGGGGUUGCGCUCGUUACAGGACUUAACCCAACACCUCACGGCACGAGCUGACGACAGCCAUGCAGCACCUAGUUUCGUGUCCUUUCGGAAAGCCUCCUUUCAGAGGCGGUCACUAACUUUCAAGCCCAGGUAAGGUUCCUCGCGUACCAUCGAAUUAAACCACAUGCUCCUCCGCUUGUGCGGGCCCCCGUCAAUUCCUUUGAGUUUCAACCUUGCGGUCGUACUCCCCAGGUGGAUUACUUAACGCUUUCGCUUUGACACGUGCAAUUGCUCGCACACAUCUAGUAAUCAACGUUUACGGCGUGGACUAC